CGGAGGAUGACCAGCUGGUGGGUUUUGGGACUCGUGCCUACAGCACCUGGCGAGAGGUCUGGGAGAGCAGGGAGGACGGCUAUGCAUCCUUCAUCCUGAAGAAGAAGAACUGCACUGCAAGCACAAAGAUGCAUAAGCUACAACUCUACCUGAAGAAGAAGCUGCAGCCACCCACUGUCUCCCCUCUGAUGUCACACGCCUCACCUGUGAUGUCACACGCCUCACAUGCUCCUGCUGAAGCCAUUGUGAUGGAUGAAGAUGAAGAGCUGGAGAGGAUGAUGCUGAGCAUCUCUCCUUCAAAGCAACAUGUGCAGAGCUCUGUUUCUGCAUCUUCGUCAUCCUCCUCAUCUGCCAG